rnacentral:tRNA from 1 species
UGAGGUGUAGCUCACUGAUAGAGUGCUUGCCUAGCAUGCAGGAGCCCCUGGAUUUAAUCCCCAGUACUUUUA